rnacentral:rRNA from 1 species
CCGGACCGGCGCACGGGUGAGCAACCACGUAUGCAACCUGGCCGCCACAGGGGGAUAACCCGCGGAAACGCGGCCUAAUACCCCGUGACGCCACCGGAGGGCAUCCUCCGGUGGCCAAAGGAGCGAUCCGGUGGCGGAUGGGCAUGCGGCGCAUUAGCUAGACGGCGGGGUGACGGCCCACCGUGGCGACGAUGCGUAGGGGUUCUGAGAGGAAGGCCCCCCACACUGGGACUGAGACACGGCCCAGACUCCUACGGAAGGCAGCAG